UGCACAUAACUCUGACUGCAUGUGGUUUCAUGGCAUGGGCUAUUACUUCUCGAAGGAGACCAUGAGCUGAACGUCCAGUAGGAAGUUCUGCGAGGAGCAGGGGGCCAGCCUGGCCAUCCUCAGGGACGCUCGUAUAAAGGAUUCGGUGAGGCUGCUGUUUCCUUAUGAUCAGCAGGAGCCGCUGGAGGACAUGACUGAUCCUUUCUGAGUCCCUGAGCAGUCGUGGUUUAUGGUUUUCUGUCCAUUGCAGGACGACUUGAAACACUUCAUGCAGGACAGCGAGGGCCAGUGGUGUGGACAGGCUGUGGUAGACGGAGACUUAAAGUGGCUAGACGAGAUGGCUGAUGAGAGCUGCUGCCUGACCUGAGAAGAUGCUGGAGAGUAUGUAGGGGCGCUACUUCACCUUCUGCUGGUGGAAGGACCUAUAAACUGGGUGCUCAUAUUAUAUUACAGCAGGACGGAGGUCGGGGACAUAUUCCUCUCCGCACACUCCAGAAGAUGGGUGGAUCCGGUGAUCUUUCUCUGUUCCCCCAUUCACAGUGCAGGACAUGGUGAUGACUUGUCUCCAAGAUCCUCAGAUCUCUCCCCAAUCUCCAUCUGUGGGAUGUGCUGGAAAACAAGUGUGAUCUAUGGAGGAUGCACCUCACCACGUAUAAGACUUCACCCUUUUACUGCCAG